GCAAAAACACGUCUCCUGACUCUCUUGUAUCCUGGCUGUUGAAGGACUGGGAUCGUCCCCCACUGCAAAAUUGUUCUGCUGUGCCCUCUGCCUUCCCUUGGCUGAGAGCUCUUAAUUCUUUCUCGUGAGCGCUCAGUCACCACCUUUGCAGUCAAAAACAGACAGAAGCAGCCCUUAGUGCUGGCGGCUGCCUUUCGCAUCCCCUCCUUCCCACCCCACAGAUAAAGCCAGGAGACCCGACGCCAGCCCGCGAAAACUAAGUCAAAAGCCCAGAGCCCCAGCUGACGCAGGUUGUGCUCUCUUCGCAAAUUCACAACUCAAAUGGUAAACUGAUAAACGCGCCCGACCUUUUUUUCCGACAGCUACUCCAGCUUUCUUCCUAGUGCGAACAAAAAUAAUUCAUAGUUAAGAGGGGGAAAAAAAGAGAGAGAGAGAGAUCGAGCUGAAAGAAGACAACACAGCCCACCCUGGCAAUAAGCAAUCUGCAGGGCAGGCGAAGCCCCUGGCUGCAAUGUUGAGUUAAGCCCAUAUAUCAGUGACUGGUCAGCCAGUGUCUUACCUGUCUCUGUGGGGAGGUGUUCUCUAUCCAUUAGCUCGCUGAAUAUAACCAUCCUUUCCUGCGGUCCACCAGUGAGAGGGACAGGGACUCACAGAGCCCCCUCUCCCCUGCUUGCCAGGUCAUUCCAGCUCAUCUCGGCUGCCUCAGCGUCUCAGCCUGCCUGCUCCGAGCAGGCAGAGAACGCCAGGGACAGAGACGCGCAGAGGAGCUCCUACAUCCCUGGCCAGAGCCGGCGAACCCUGGGUCUCACUCAGCUGCUGCUGUCGCUGUGAAGUUUGUUCGUUUUUUUUUCUUUCGGUGCGUGUGUGUGAAAGAGAGAGAGAGAGCGAGUGUGACCGUACGCACGGAGCUCUCCUGGCUGUUCGAGCCAGCGGAGUUGCAGAAAGAGAGAGAGAGAGAGACCGAGAGGAUGCUUUUCGCUCCUGCUUCGUCUGUCUGCAUCGAUCAUGUCAUGAAGUGGAGGAGGGAGUGUCUGAGCCUUCCCUUCCCCAUGACCACAGACAGAACGAGGAUCUCUGGUUUGAAGCCCUGGUUUGGUAGAGAACCGCUGCUGGCUUGGCUGAGACUGAGAUGGAAAAGAGAGAGAGAGGAAAAGAGAGAGGGAGCAAAAUAGAGAGCCGUCCAGGCAUACAGCCUAGAGUGAUAAAGGACUGGGGACGUUCACUGAGGACAGGGAAUGCAUACUGAGCAGCCGUCCCCGCUCCGAGACGGAAUGAAGCUGUUCUGUGUGCGACUGUGCCGCUUUAAUGGCAGAGCCUCUCUGGGCACAGAAUGUGUUACCAGGGAAAUCCUUUUCAGGGUCUUGUUUACAGACGUUCCCUUUCACGCCCGCACCAUGUAAGCGCACGCAGCGAUCGCGCUCCACUCGAGCGAGCGCAGGGAGGCGAGGCGGCGGCCAAUCCCGGCCCUCCCAGCCGGCGCGCGGCUGGCGCGCGGCGCGCGGGGCUGCCCGCUUUGUAUGCGGGAGGGGACGCUCGCCGCGCGGCGCCUGGCUGACACCUCCCGCCUGACAUGAAGUGGAUGCUGUUCUCCCCCGGAAUAUAAUGGAAACGCAGAGAUCAUUUAGCCCGAACUCUGCCUUAGUGUCCGAACAGUUGAGGGGCGAUCUGGGAGGAGAAAUAUCAGCCAUGGAUGAAUAUUAGAUUCCCAUUAAACAGCAGUCUGAGCCAUUUAUGAUUUUUGUAGGCGUCUUGUAAGGGUCUUGUGUAUGAACUAGCCUGGUGGCUGUUUAAUACCUUAUUUCGAGUCAAUCCGUG
ensembl:lincRNA